UCAUUUUAAUUUUUAACUCUAUUUGUUGUAAUAUCUUUUUUUUCUUAUUGUUUUUUAUGUUAUUUUUGUAAAAUACUUUAAUUUUUUUCUUUUUUAUGGAGAUAUUAAAAAUUUGUUUUUUGAACUGGAUUAGUACCCAGGUAAUCAAAAUUUAUUAAUUCGGGAGUAAAGUUUAAUUUAAACCGAAAAAAUAUUGACUGACUUUAGAUUUUUCUUUGGAAUAUGUGUUUGGAGAGCCCUCUUUUAUGGUAAUUUUUAUUGGCACAUGUAUGAUUGUUUAGUUUUUAUAUUAUUUUGUAAUGCUUUUGUAUUUUGCAUAAAAAACAGAUAUAUAUUUGGCUUAUAAAAUUAUUGUUCAUGUAUUACUAUUAUUAAUUUUUUUUGGAUUAAUUUUUAUUUAUUUUAUUUUGAAAUUGGAAAAGAAAGUAAUUUGAUUUUAAUAU
rnacentral:rRNA from 1 species